GAAGGAACAAGAGAAGGAGAAGGCCAAGGAGAAGGAGAAGGCCGAGGAGAAGAAGGCCGAGGAGAAGGGCUCCUGGUUUUUCUGGAGGAAGCCUCCUUCAGCCCCACCCUCUGCCCGGAUCGAUGGCGACAACAAGUAAAGUAAGACCACCAGUGAGGUAGAGGCAGCAUGACAGUCGGCUGAAGGAACAAGAUGGCUGGGGGCAGAGUCGAACUGGUGAAUUAGUUUUGGUUGUUCUUUUCUUGAAAGGACAGGGUGGUGAGGAAGUUUGCAGAGGAUGCUGUAAUAGUUGCAUUAGCCUUGAUUGCUUAUACUGUGGGGAAACUAUGUUA